rnacentral:rRNA from 1 species
UACGUAGGGAGCAAGCGUUGUCCGGAAUCAUUGGGCGUAAAGCGCGCGUAGGCGGCCCUGUAAGUCCGUUGUGAAAGUCCAGGGCUCAACCCUGGGAUGCCGGUCGAUACUGCCGGACUAGAGUUCGGAAGAGGCGAGUGGAAUUCCCGGUGUAGCGGUGAAAUGCGCAGAUAUCGGGAGGAACACCUAUGGCGAAGGCAGCUCGCUGGGACGUUACUGACGCUGAGACGCGAAAGCGUGGGGAGCAAACAGG